GGACCAACCGCGUCAAGCAUAGCUUAACCUGUGAUCGUUUCACUUAUGCGGUUAUAGCUUAGCCACGAGCUCCUCUUCGUGAUUAUUGAGUCUGUUACUUUAUUAAAUCCAGGCAUUGCUUUGGAUCCAAGAAGUAAAGCUAGACACACGAGCGUUGACACCUGGGUAACGAGCCUGAGCACAUCCCCAACCGAAAGAGCAAACACCAACAACGACACCGUUGUGGUAGAGAGGACCGCCAGAGUCUCCCUGGCACUGGUC